rnacentral:rRNA from 1 species
UGUUUGAUGUUCUAACGUGGACCCGUGAUCCGGGUUGCGGACAGUGUCUGGUGGGUAGUUUGACUGGGGCGGUCUCCUCCUAAAGAGUAACGGAGGAGCACGAAGGUUGGCUAAUCCUGGUCGGACAUCAGGAGGUUAGUGCAAUGGCAUAAGCCAGCUUGACUGCGAGCGUGACGGCGCGAGCAGGUGCGAAAGCAGGUCAUAGUGAUCCGGUGGUUCUGAAUGGAAGGGCCAUCGCUCAACGGAUAAAAGGUACUCCGGGGAUAACAGGCUGAUACCGCCCAAGAGUUCAUAUCGACGGCGGUGUUUGGCACCUCGAUGUCGGCUCAUCACAUCCUGGGGCUGAAGUAGGUCCCAAGGGUAUGGCUGUUCGCCAUUUAAAGUGGUACGCGAGCUGGGUUUAGAACGUCGUGAGACAGUUCGGUCCCUAUCUGCCGUGGGCGCUGGAGAACUGAGGGGGGCUGCUCCUAGUACGAGAGGACCGGAGUGGACGCAUCACUGGUGUUCGGGUUGUCAUGCCAAUGGCACUGCCCGGUAGCUAAAUGCGGAAGAGAUAAGUGCUGAAAGCAUCUAAGCACGAAACUUGCCCCGAGAUGAGUUCUCCCUGACCCUUUAAGGGUCCUGAAG